rnacentral:rRNA from 1 species
GUGGGGAAUCUUGCGCAAUGGGCGAAAGCCUGACGCAGCAACGCCGCGUGCGGGAAGAAGGCUUUCGGGCUGUAAACCGCUUUCAGUAGGAACGAAACUGACGGUACCUACAGAAGAAGGAGCGGCCAACUAUGUGCCAGCAGCCGCGGUGACACAUAGGCUCCAAGCGUUGUCCGGAUUUAUUGGGCGUAAAGAGCUCGUAGGCGGUUGAGUAAGUCGGGUGUGAAAACUUUGGGCUUAACCCAAAGAUGCCACUCGAUACUGCUUUGACUUGAGUUCGGUAGGGGAGUGGGGAAUUCCUUGUGUAGCGGUGAAAUGCGCAGAUAUAAGGAGGAACACCGGUGGCGAAGGCGCCACUCUGGGCCGAUACUGACGCUGAGGAGCGAAAGCGUGGGGAGCAAACAGGAUUAGAUACCCGAGUAGUCC